rnacentral:rRNA from 1 species
UGGCAGUGGCGGACGGGUGAGUAACGCGUAGGAGUCUAUCCUUGAAUGGGGGACAACCGUGGGAAACUACGGCUAAUACCGCAUGAUGCCUGAGGGCCAAAGGUCGCAAGACCGUUUGAGGAGGAGCCUGCGUCUGAUUAGCUUGUUGGUGGGGUAAAGGCUUACCAAGGCGACGAUCAGUAGCUGGUCUGAGAGGAUGAUCAGCCACAUUGGGACUGAGACACGGCCCAAACUCCUACGGGAGGCAGCAGUGGGGAAUAUUGGACAAUGGGGGCAACCCUGAUCCAGCAAUGCCGCGUGGGUGAAGAAGGUCUUCGGAUUGUAAGGCCCUUUUGGCAGGGACGAUGAUGACGGUACCUGCAGAAUAAGCCCCGGCUGACUUCGUGCCAGCAGCCGCGGUAAUACGAAGGGGGCUAGCGUUGCUCGGAAUGACUGGGCGUAAAGGGCGCGUAGGCGGUUUAUACAGUCAGAUGUGAAAUUCCUGGGCUCAACCUGGGGACUGCAUUUGAGACGUAUGGACUUGAGUGGAGAAGAGGGUCGUGGAAUUUCCAGUGUAGAGGUGAAAUUCGUAGAUAUUGGAAAGAACACCGGUGGCGAAGGCGGCGACCUGGUCUUUGACUGACGCU